GUACCGGUGGUGUAUGGAACACGCGCUGAACUGAUGACCGCCACGACUUUUACGCGGCGAGACGGGGUUCGAUUCCCCGCCGGUGCA